rnacentral:rRNA from 1 species
GACGAACGCUGGCGGCGUGCCUAAUACAUGCAAGUCGACCUUAGUGGCGAACGGGUGAGUAACACGUGGGUAACCUACCCAUCAGAAGGGGAUAACACUUGGAAACAGGUGCUAAUACCGCAUACUGAUGGAUGGCCCCGCGGUGCAUUAGCUAGGUGGUGAGGUAACGGCUCACCAAGGCAACGAUGCAUAGCAGGCCUGCGAGGGGGACGGGGCACAAGUGGAAUGAGACACGGCCAAAACUCCUACGGGAGGCAGCAGUAGGGAAUCUUCGGCAAUGGACGAAAGUCUGACCGAGAAAGGCCGCGUGAGUGAAGAAGGUUUUAGGAUCGUAAAACUCUGGUGUUAGAGAAGCGGUAUCUAACCAGAAAGCAACGGCUAACUACGUGCCAGCAGCCGCGGUAAUAC